UACGAAGGGUGCAAACGUUGCUCGGAAUUAUUGGGCGUAAAGCGCACGUAGGCGGCUUGGCAAGUCGGAUGUGAAUCCCUCGGCUCAACCAAGGAAGUGCAUCCGAAACUGCUGAGCUUGAGUACUUAAGAGGAUCGCGGAAUUCUGGUGUAGCGGUGAAAUGCGCAGAUAUCAGGAGGAACACCGGUGGCGAAGGCGGUCUGCUGGGCCAAGACUGACGCUGAGGCGACGACAGCGUGGGGAGCAAACAGG
rnacentral:rRNA from 1 species